UACAGAGGGUGCGAGCGUUAAUCGGAAUUACUGGGCGUAAAGCGUGCGUAGACGGCUAUCUAAGUCGGGUGUGAAAGCCCCGGGCUCAACCUGGGAAUUGCAUUCGAGACUGAAUAGCUAGGGUACGGUGGAGGGAAGCGGAAUUUCCGGUGUAGCGGUGAAAUGCGUAGAUAUCGGAAGGAACAUCAGUGGCGAAAGCG
rnacentral:rRNA from 1 species